rnacentral:rRNA from 1 species
CUAAUACAUGCAGUCGAGCGGACAGAAGGGAGCUUGCUCCCGGAUGUUAGCGGCGGACGGGUGAGUAACACGUGGGUAACCUGCCUGUAAGACUGGGAUAACUCCGGGAAACCGGAGCUAAUACCGGAUAGUUCCUUGAACCGCAUGGUUCAAGGAUGAAAGACGGUUUCGGCUGUCACUUACAGAUGGACCCGCGGCGCAUUAGCUAGUUGGUGAGGUAACGGCUCACCAAGGCGACGAUGCGUAGCCGACCUGAGAGGGUGAUCGGCCACACUGGGACUGAGACACGGCCCAGACUCCUACGGGAGGCAGCAGUAGGGAAUCUUCCGCAAUGGACGAAAGUCUGACGGAGCAACGCCGCGUGAGUGAUGAAGGUUUUCGGAUCGUAAAGCUCUGUUGUUAGGGAAGAACAAGUGCAAGAGUAACUGCUUGCACCUUGACGGUACCUAACCAGAAAGCCACGGCUAACUACGUGCCAGCAGCCGCGGUAAUACGUAGGUGGCAAGCGUUGUCCGGAAUUAUUGGGCGUAAAGGGCUCGCAGGCGGUUUCUUAAGUCUGAUGUGAAAGCCCCCGGCUCAACCGGGGAGGGUCAUUGGAAACUGGGAAACUUGAGUGCAGAAGAGGAGAGUGGAAUUCCACGUGUAGCGGUGAAAUGCGUAGAGAUGUGGAGGAACACCAGUGGCGAAGGCGACUCUCUGGUCUGUAACUGACGCUGAGGAGCGAAAGCGUGGGGAGCGAACAGGAUUAG